UACGUAGGGUGCGAGCGUUGUCCGGAAUUAUUGGGCGUAAAGAGCUCGUAGGCGGUCUGUCGCGUCUGCUGUGAGAUCCCGAGGCUCAACCUCGGGCUUGCAGUGGGUACGGGCAGGCUAGAGUGCGGUAGGGGAGAAUGGAACUCCUGGUGUAGCGGUGGAAUGCGCAGAUAUCAGGAAGAACACCGAUGGCGAAGGCAGUUCUCUGGGCCGUAACUGACGCUGAGGAGCGAAAGCGUGGGGAGCGAACAGG
rnacentral:rRNA from 1 species